AAGACUAUACUUUCAGGGAUCAUUUCUAUAGUUUGCUAUUUCCCCACCAUCUGUCAACUCAGAGCCUCUUCUUUCCAAGAAGACAGUUCUAAACUGAAGUGACUGAAGCUCCUUCGCAGGCUUCCUCUGGG
rnacentral:snoRNA from 2 species